UCUUUUCAGAUGGAGAGCUACGCCCGAUCAAAGUCUUAUCCGAAAAGAAAACUUUUGGUUUGACCAGCCCGUUUUCGGAUCUAACAGUGGAAUUUUAUCCCAAUUCAACCUUCUAGUUGUAGGUCUCGGAAAGAUAUCCAAUUUUAAAAGAAAAGAUCAUCUCAAUCGGACAUCGAAUGGCUAAGUUAUGGCCUCCAAAAGUUUGGCAUUCGACUCGGCUUCCCGAUGUGGCGGAUCUCACUCCUCAUCCAACCCUGC
rnacentral:lncRNA from 1 species